rnacentral:lncRNA from 1 species
AAGACGUUGACGGGGAAGACUAUCACCUUGGAGGUGGAGAGCUCUGACACGAUUGACAACGUUAAGACGAAGAUUCAAGACAAGGAAGGCAUUCCUCCCGAUCAGCAAAGGCUUAUUUUCGCCGGCAAACAAUUGGAGGAUGGUCGCACCUUGGCAGACUACAACAUCCAAAAAGAAUCAACCUUGCAUUUAGUCCUACGAUUGCGAGGUGGCAUGCAAAUCUUUGUUAAAACCUUGACCGGUAAAACAAUCACGCUUGAGGUCGAAAGCUCUGACACAAUUGACAACGUGAAGACGAAAAUCCAAGACAAGGAAGGGAUUCCGCCCGAUCAGCAGCGUUUGAUCUUUGCUGGUAAGCAAUUAGAAGAUGGCCGCACCCUUGCUGAUUACAAUAUCCAAAAGGAAUCGACCUUGCACCUGGUCUUGCGUUUGCGCGGAGGAAUGGAAAUCAUUGAAGAUACUUUGGCCAGUAAAAUCAUAACCUAGAAGGUCGAAAGCUCCGACCCCAUCGACGACUUCAAAACAAAAAACUCAAGUCAUGGAGGAUAUUCCAACCGACCAUAAGCAUCUGAACUUGGGGGGCAAGCAAAUCGCAGGUGGUCAAGCCCUUCCAGAUCAUACAACAUUCUGAGUGUACCUGCAUUGAAUUUGGCGCGCCGGUUGAGAGGUGGUUCUCAGACACUUGCACCGCGACAC